UACUUCCAGUAAAGGAGAGAAGCUUAGAAUGCCUCUUGGCAAGGACGGAAGAGGCCCUUGGGCCUAAUAACACACAUGCAGUUAAGGAAAAGCCUUCUUUCAUCCUUGAGUGUCUCUCUUUCUUC